UACAGAGGGGGCAAGCGUUGUUCGGAAUUACUGGGCGUAAAGGGCGCGUAGGCGGCCUGUUAAGUCGAACGUGAAAUCCCCGGGCUCAACCCGGGAACUGCGUCCGAUACUGGCAGGCUUGAAUCCGGGAGAGGGAUGCGGAAUUCCAGGUGUAGCGUGAAAUGCGUAGAUAUCUGGAGGAACACCGGUGGCGAAGGCGGCGAUGCCUGGA
rnacentral:rRNA from 1 species